rfam:Peregrinibacteria bacterium GW2011_GWF2_33_10 TR28_C0041, whole genome shotgun sequence.
UCGCAUCCUGGGGCUGGAGAAGGUCCCAAGGGUUGGGCUGUUCGCCCAUUAAAGCGGUACGCGAGCUGGGUUCAGAACGUCGUGAGACAGUUCGGCCUUUAUCCUCCAUGACCACGCGGAAAUUUGAAGGAAUCUAUCCCUAGUACGAGAGGACCGGGAUGGACGAACCUCUGGUGUACCUGUUGUUGUGUCAACAGCAUCGCAGGGUAGCCAAGUUCGGGCAGGAUAACCGCUGAAGGCAUCUAAGCGGGAAACCUCACCUAAGAUAAAUUUCCCCAUUAGCCUCCUGGGAGAUGACCAGGUUGAUAGGUUGCCGGUAUAAGUCCUGUGAAGGAUGUAGCCAAGCAAUACUAAUAGGCGAUUGAAUUUUCCUU